GUGAAUUCUGAUCUUUUGUAUAAAAAAUAUAUUAUAUCUGAUGCUAAAAUUGGAAAAUUAUGGAUUCUGGGCAUUGCAAGAAAUGGUCAGUGAAGAACUGAGUUUUGUCUUCUUUUGAUUAUUGGUUUCCGUAUUUGAACCAAAUUGUCUAAUAUUGUAUUCUUAUAUGCUAUUUUUAUCACUAUUUUAUACAUCUAUCUCUCAUUGCUUACGUCCAGAUCUGGACUAAGCAGAGCCAAUUGUCUAUCACACACACACACACACAC
rnacentral:misc_RNA from 1 species